UACGGGGGGGGCAAGCGUUGUUCGGAAUUACUGGGCGUAAAGGGCUGGUAGGCGGCCAACUAAGUCGGAUGUGAAAUCCCCAGGCUUAACCUGGGAACUGCAUCCGAUACUGGUCGGCUUGAACCCGGGAGAGGGAUGCAGAAUUCCAGGUGUAGCGGUGAAAUGCGUAGAUAUCUGGAGGAAUACCGGUGGCGAAGGCGGCAUCCUGGACCGGCAUUGACGCUGAACAGCGAAAGCUAGGGGAGCAAACGGG
rnacentral:rRNA from 1 species